UACGAAGGGGGCUAGCGUUGCUCGGAAUCACUGGGCGUAAAGCGCACGUAGGCGGACUCUUAAGUCGGUGGUGAAAUCCUCGGAGCUCAACUCCAGAACUGCCUCCGAUACUGGGAGUCUUGAGUCCGGGAGAGGUGAGUGGAACUGGCGAGUGUAGAGGUGAAAUUCGUAGAUAUUCGCAAGAACACCAGUGGCGGAAGGCGGCUCACUGGCCCGGUACUGACGCUGAGGUGCGAAAGCGUGGGGAGCAACAGG
rnacentral:rRNA from 1 species